rnacentral:rRNA from 1 species
CGGUCUCCCACGACUGGCCGCGUCGACCACAUGCAAGUCGAACGAUGACUCUCUAGCUUGCUAGAGAUGAUUAGUGGCGGACGGGUGAGUAACAUUUAGGAAUCUACCUAGUAGUGGGGGAUAGCUCGGGGAAACUCGAAUUAAUACCGCAUACGACCUACGGGUGAAAGGGGGCGCAAGCUCUUGCUAUUAGAUGAGCCUAAAUCAGAUUAGCUAGUUGUGGGUAAAGGCCCACCAAGGCGACGAUCUGUAACUGGUCUGAGAGGAUGAUCAGUCACACCGGAACUGAGACACGGUCCGGACUCCUACGGGAGGCAGCAGUGGGGAAUAUUGGACAAUGGGGGCAACCCUGAUCCAGCCAUGCCGCGUGUGUGAAGAAGGCCUUUUGGUUGUAAAGCACUUUAAGCAGGGAGGAGAGGCUAAUGGUUAAUACCCAUUAGAUUAGACGUUACCUGCAGAAUAAGCACCGGCUAACUCUGUGCCAGCAGCCGCGGUAAUACAGAGGGUGCGGGCGUUCCCGUAGUCGACGCGGCC